rnacentral:rRNA from 1 species
UGGGGAAUUUUGGACAAUGGGGGCANCCUUGAUCCAGCAAUGCCGCGUGAGCGAAGAAGGCCUUCGGGUUGUAAGGCUCUUUUGUCAGGGAAGAAACAGCAGCUCUAACACAGUCUGCGAAUGACGGUACCUGAAGAAUAAGCACCGGCUAACUACGUGCCAGCAGCCGCGGUAAUACGUAGGGUGCAAGCGUUAAUCGGAAUUACUGGGCGUAAAGCGUGCGCAGGCGGUUAUGUAAGACAGGCGUGAAAUCCCCGGGCUUAACCUGGGAAUUGCGCUUGUGACUGCAUAGCUAGAGUAUGUCAGAGGGGGGUAGAAUUCCACGUGUAGCAGUGAAAUGCGUANAGAUGUGGAGGAAUACCAAUGGCGAAGGCAGCCCCCUGGGAUAAUACUGACGCUCAUGCACGAAAGCGUGGGGAGCAAACAGGAUUAGAUACCCUGGUAGUCCACGCCCUAAACGAUGCUGACUAGUUGUUCGGGAAUUUAUUCCUGAGUAACGUAGCUAACGCGUGAAGUCAGCCGCCUGGGGGAGUACGGUCGCANGAUUA